UCUUAUUUUGUCAGGGAAGCGGUAUUGUGGGUCGACCGUCCGUUUCCUUUAUGGUGUGUCCAGGUAACACUGGCAGUGAUAAGUAUUCUGGAGACCUUACUACUAGCAUAUCUCAGCUACAAGGGCAACAUCUGGCAGCAGCUGAUGUCAUUCAAUUUAAUUUUGGAGCUGGUCAACAAUGUUCCGUUUAUUAUUACGGUAAGAUUCUAUGG